UACGGAGGGUGCAAGCGUUAUCCGGAUUCACUGGGUUUAAAGGGUGCGUAGGAGGGCAGGUAAGUCAGUGGUGAAAUCCCCAAGCUUAACCUGGGAACUGCCGUUGAUACUAUCUGUCUUGAAUACCGUGGAGGUGAGCGGAAUAUGUCAUGUAGCGGUGAAAUGCUUAGAUAUGACAUAGAACACCAAUUGCGAAGGCAGCUCACUGGCUCGGUACUGACGCUGAGGUGCGAAAGCGUGGGGAGCAAACAGG
rnacentral:rRNA from 1 species